AGCGAACGCUGGCGGCAGGCCUAACACAUGCAAGUCGAACGAACCUUCGGGGUUAGUGGCGGACGGGUGAGUAACACGUGGGAACGUGCCUUUAGGUUCGGAAUAACUCAGGGAAACUUGUGCUAAUACCGAAUGUGCCCUUCGGGGGAAAGAUUUAUCGCCUUUAGAGCGGCCCGCGUCUGAUUAGCUAGUUGGUUGAGGUAAUGGCUCACCAAGGCGACGAUCAGUAGCUGGUCUGAGAGGAUGAUCAGCCACAUUGGGACUGAGACACGGCCCAAACUCCUACGGGAGGCAGCAGUGGGGAAUCUUGCGCAAUGGGCGAAAGCCUGACGCAGCCAUGCCGCGUGAAUGAUGAAGGUCUUAGGAUUGUAAAAUUCUUUCACCGGGGACGAUAAUGACGGUACCCGGAGAAGAAGCCCCGGCUAACUUCGUG
rnacentral:rRNA from 1 species